GGCCGGCAAGUCCGACCCCCACCUCCCCGCGGUGUCGGCUGGGGUGCGGAGGCGGCCUAGUCCCCCGCCUCUGCAUGCUAAUGGGGGCGG
rnacentral:ribozyme from 1 species